rnacentral:rRNA from 1 species
ACUCCUACGGGAGGCAGCAGUGGGGAAUAUUGCACAAUGGGGGAAACCCUGAUGCAGCCAUGCCGCGUGUGUGAAGAAGGCCUUCGGGUUGUAAAGCACUUCAGCGAGGAGGAAGGGUGUGUGCUAAUACCAUACAUCUGUGACGUUACUCGCGAAGAAGCACCGGCUAACUCGUGCCAGCAGCCGCGGUAAUACGGAGGGUGCGAGCGUUAAUCGGAAUUACUGGGCGUAAAGCGUGCGCAGGCGGUUUGUUAAGCGAGAUGUGAAAGCCCCGGGCUCAACCUGGGAAUUGCAUUUCGAACUGGCAAGCUAGAGUCUUGUAGAGGGGGUAGAAUUUCAGGUGUAGCGGUGAAAUGCGUAGAGAUCUGAAGGAAUACCGGUGGCGAAGGCGGCCCCCUGGACAGAUACUGACACUCAGAUGCGAAAGCGUGGGGAGCAAACAGGAUUAGAUACCCUGGUAG